UACGGAGGGGGCUAGCGUUGUUCGGAAUUACUGGGCGUAAAGCGUGCGCAGGCGGCUUUGCAAGACAGAUGUGAAAUCCCCGGGCUCAACCUGGGAACUGCAUUUGUGACUGCAAGGCUAGAGUACGGCAGAGGGGGAUGGAAUUCCGCGUGUAGCAGUGAAAUGCGUAGAUAUGCGGAGGAACACCAAUGGCGAAGGCGACCACCUGGACUGAUACUGACGCUCAUGCACGAAAGCGUGGGGAGCAAACAGG
rnacentral:rRNA from 1 species